AAUCGAAUUCCCAAGCAUUACCAACAUCAACUAAAAUAAAUGGAGGACCUGAUUGUUCCUAUAGAAUUGCACGUGUUUUGACGAUUGCAACAUAGUAAAGUAUAAGAAAUACUGUCCGUUGAAAAGCCAUGCCUAAGUCGAAGCGUGACAAGAAACUAUCGUUAACAAAAACAAAGAAGAAAGGAUUGGGUUUUAAACAGCAUUUGGUUGAUGACAUUCGAAGAUGUGUUCAGGACUACAAGAGAAUCUUCGUAUUUUCUGUUCAGAACAUGAGGAACUCAAAACUGAAAGACCUCCGUACAGAGUGGAGGCACAGUAGAUUUUUCUUUGGUAAAAAUAAAGUUAUGGCUUUAGGUCUUGGUAAGACAAAGGAGACGGAAGCUCAGGAUAAACUGCAUAAGGUGACAAAACAUCUGAUUGGUCAAUGUGGUUUACUCUUCACAAACAAAGAACCUGAAGAAGUUCUUGAUUGGUUUCAAGACUACAGUGAAAGUGACUUUGCUAGGGCUGGAAAUGUUGCUACAGAUACUGUGACGUUGCCUGCUGGUCCCCUCCCCCAGUUUCCACAUUCUAUAGAGCCACAUCUUCGUCAGCUUGGAAUGCCUACGAGCCUGCAGAGGGGUGUGGUCACAAUGCUUUCAGAGUUUACUGUCUGUAAAGCUGAUCAGGCACUUAAACCAGAACAGGCCAGAAUACUAAAAUUACUUGGGCAUCAAAUGGCAGAAUUCAAAAUCACAAUGAAAUGCAUGUGGUCAAAGGAUGGGAAAUUUAAAAAGUUUGAAAGUAAAAAGAAAAAGAACAAGAAAACAUCAAAAUCUCAGGAAGACAUACUUGAUGUAGAUAUGAAAGAAGUGGAUGACAGUGUAGAUGUUGGAAUUGAAGUUGGUGAUGGAAAUGUGGAUGCUGAUGUUGAAGUUGAAGGUGAGUCUGUAGAUGCUGCCAUUGAAGUUCGAGAUGAGACUGUGGAUGCUGCCAUUGAAGUUCGAGAUGACACUGUGGAUGCUUCUAUUGAAGUUCGAGAUGAGACUGUGGGUGCUGCCAUUGAAGUUCAAGAUGAGAUUGUGGAUGCUGGUGUUGACAUUAAAAGUGACAAGAAGUGACAAUGUUACUUGGGCAGUUGCACCUGGAUUAUAAUUAAUAGGAAAGGACAAAAAGUCAGGAGCAUUUAUCGUGAACAGGUGAUUUAAACACUGAUGCUGUGGGACUGCAAGGACCUGUGAAAUACAAAGCAGGAGUGCCAACUGCUAUGAUGCAACAUUGAGGUUGCAAAGUUCAUCCUUCUUCAUAGAGGGUGCUAACAAAAAUGUUAUGAUGUAAAAUGCAUGCGCACAACACAGAACAUAAUUUAGUUGUUAGUUACAUGAAAACAUGCAAAUAGCUUCUGACAUGCAAGUGCCCUAAAUCCUUCCCUACAUGAAAAAAUGGACAGUUCAGUUAUACUUGUACAUAUAUUGUCUCUCCAUGUUCUCUUAAAUUUGUAUUAUUACUGCUGUACAGGGGGGAAAUAUGUCUCUAUGGAACUGUGACGUCUAAUACAGCCUCCAGAUGACACAUGAAUGGACAUGAAGCAGCAAUGGAAAGAUACUGACGGGAAAAUCUGUCCUAGUCCCACUUUUUCCACCACAUGGACUGCCAUGGGUGUGAAUCUGGGCCUCGGUAAGAAAUCAGUGACUAACCACCUGAGCUAAGGCAGAACUCUUUAAAUUGCAUGAAAGCAUUGUUAUUCAUGCAGUUUUGUCAUCUUCAGGAAAUAAUGUAUGAGUAUUGUGUGCCAGAAGGACAUGAAAUUAAUGGAACAUUCUGAUUGGAUUGGUGGUUUACAAUGAAAAUGCAAAAGUUAUGUAGCCAAUAAAAAUUAUGAAGCUCACUGCAAUAAAAAGAAGAGUUGUGAUCUGCUCGUACAUGACAUCACUAACUGCUGAUUAUUAUUUGGUAACCAAUUUAGAUAGAGUGCUGACAGGGCUCCAGUUUUUUUGCGUAUUCUACCACAUUCCACAGAGACUUACUGGUCAGGCUAUUCCUUGUGGAAGACGCGUUACCCUGGGAUACUGCUGUCGAUCAGUAUGGUCUUUGGUACACAAUGAAGCUAUGUAAUGAAGUCAGUAAAUGUACUUAAACCCGCCUUAUGGACUAACCACAUCUCAUAUGUUUAAUAAUGGUAUGGUUACAAUUUAAAUAUAUAAAAAUUCAUGUAAUGGUGGCAGAUUAGGUGCACAUCGCAAUGAAUAAGUAAUUUUGAGAUGUAUCAAACAUUUACCAGAAAAAUAUAUAUUUUUAAUUAAUAAUGUAUUAACAGAUAA